GCCUUUGUGGUGUAACAGUAGUACACUCGGCUCUUAUUCAAGAGGUCCAGGUUCGAAUCGCGGCGAAAGCA
rnacentral:tRNA from 1 species